CAUCCUGGUGCGUGUCUAGCGAGCUACUCUCUCCACAUUCUUCACACAAGAUAGCUGCAUUUUGAAGCAUCACAAAGAAGAAACUAAACGUAACAGGAAGUCGAACAAAGGCUCGAAUAUUCUAUUUGCAGACUAACCAUCGAUGGAUAAAGGAUUUGUUAAAUAAGAAAAAACAACGGCGGGGUGUGGAAAUGUUAAUAAGAAGAGCAAACAUUUGUAAGAACUUACUUGAGAAGACGGCGAGUAAGUGUAACCAAACUGGGUGUAUGACAUACU